UGGGGAAUAUUGCACAAUGGGCGCAAGCCUGAUGCAGCCAUGCCGCGUGUAUGAAGAAGGCCUUCGGGUUGUAAAGUACUUUCAGCGGGGAGGAAGGGAGUAAAGUUAAUACCUUUGCUCAUUGACGUUACCCGCAGAAGAAGCACCGGCUAACCCCGUGCCAGCAGCCGCGGUAAUACGGAGGGUGCAAGCGUUAAUCGGAAUUACUGGGCGUAAAGCGCACGCAGGCGGUUUGUUAAGUCAGAUGUGAAAUCCCCGGGCUCAACCUGGGAACUGCAUCUGAUACUGGCAAGCUUGAGUCUCGUAGAGGGGGGUAGAAUUCCAGGUGUAGCGGUGAAAUGCGUAGAGAUCUGGAGGAAUACCGGUGGCGAAGGCGGCCCCCUGGACGAAGACUGACGCUCAGGUGCGAAAGCGUGGGGAGCAAACAGG
rnacentral:rRNA from 1 species